rfam:Marinactinospora thermotolerans DSM 45154 genome assembly, contig: G546DRAFT_scaffold00016.16
GCACCCGUAGCUCAGUGGAUAGAGCACCGGACUUCUAAUCCGAUGGUCGCAGGUUCGAAUCCUGCCGGGUGCG